rnacentral:misc_RNA from 1 species
GAUGAAGAACGUAGUGAAAUGCGAUAAUUAAUGUGAAUUGCAGAAUUCAGUGAAUCAUCGAAUCUUUGAACGCACAUUGCGCCCGCCAGUAUUCUGGCGGGCAUGCCUGUCUGAGCGUCAUUUCAACCCUCAUGCCCCUAGGGCGUGGUGUUGGGGAUCGGCCAAAGCCCGCGAGGGACGGCCGGCCCCUAAAUCUAGUGGCGGACCCGUCGUGGCCUCCUCUGCGAAGUAGUGAUAUUCCGCAUCGGAGAGCGACGAGCCCCUGCCGUUAAACCCCCAACUUUCCAAGGUUGACCUCAGAUCAGGUAGGAAUACCCGCUGAACUUAAGCAUAUCAAUAAGCGGAGGA